GUGAUGUCAUAUGAGCUUCAGGAUAUCUACCUAGUAGUGGGGGAUAGCACGGGGAAACUCGUAUUAAUACCGCAUACGACCUACGGGAGAAAGGGGGCAGUUUACUGCUCUCGCUAUUAGAUGAGCCUAAGUCGGAUUAGCUAGAUGGUGGGGUAAAGGCCUACCAUGGCGACGAUCUGUAGCUGGUCUGAGAGGAUGAUCAGCCACACCGGGACUGAGACACGGCCCGGACUCCUACGGGAGGCAGCAGUGGGGAAUAUUGGACAAUGGGGGAAACCCUGAUCCAGCCAUGCCGCGUGUGUGAAGAAGGCCUUUUGGUUGUAAAGCACUUUAAGCAGUGAAGAAGACUCCGUGGUUAAUACCCACGGACGAUGACAUUAGCUGCAGAAUAAGCACCGGCUAACUCUGUGCCAGCAGCCGCGGUAAUACAGAGGGUGCAAGCGUUAAUCGGAAUUACUGGGCGUAAAGGGAGCGUAGGUGGCUCUAUAAGUCAGAUGUGAAAUCCCCGGGCUCAACCUGGGAACUGCAUCUGAAACUGUAGAGCUAGAGUAUGUGAGAGGAAGGUAGAAUUCCAGGUGUAGCGGUGAAAUGCGUAGAGAUCUGGAGGAAUACCGAUGGCGAAGGCAGCCUUCUGGCAUAAUACUGACACUGAGGCUCGAAAGCGUGGGUAGCAAACAGGAUUAGAUACCCUGGUAGUCCACGCCGUAAACGAUGUCUACUAGUCGUUGGGUCCCUUGAGGACUUAGUGACGCAGCUAACGCAAUAAGUAGACCGCCUGGGGAGUACGGCCGCAAGGUUAAAACUCAAUGAAUUGACGGGGGCCCGCACAAGCGGUGGAGCAUGUGGUUUAAUUCGAUGCAACGCGAGAACCUUACCUGGUCUUGACAUAUCUAGA
rnacentral:rRNA from 1 species